UGGGGAAUAUUGCACAAUGGGCGCAAGCCUGAUGCAGCGACGCAGCGUGCGGGAUGGAGGCCUUCGGGUUGUAAACCGCUUUUGUUCAAGGCAAGGCACGGUCUUUGGCCGUGUUGAGUGGAUUGUUCGAAUAAGCACCGGCUAACUACGUGCC
rnacentral:rRNA from 1 species